rnacentral:rRNA from 1 species
GACGAACGCUGGCGGCGUGCUUAACACAUGCAAGUCGAGCGAGGCCCUCCUUCGGGAGGUGUCCUAGCGGCGAACGGGUGAGUAACACGUGGGCAACCUGCCCUCAGCUCUGGGAUAACCCCAAGAAAUUGGGGCUAAUACCGGAUACGACCGCUGACCGCAUGGUCUGGUGGUGGAAAGAUUUAUCGGCUGAGGAUGGGCCCGCGGCCUAUCAGCUUGUUGGUGGGGUAGUGGCCUACCAAGGCGACGACGGGUAGCCGGCCUGAGAGGGUGACCGGCCACACUGGGACUGAGACACGGCCCGGACUCCUACGGGAGGCAGCAGUGGGGAAUAUUGCGCAAUGGGCGGAAGCCUGACGCAGCGACGCCGCGUGGGGGAUGACGGCCUUCGGGUUGUAAACCUCUUUCAGCAGGGACGAAGCGAAAGUGACGGUACCUGCAGAAGAAGCACCGGCCAACUACGUGCCAGCCGCCGCCGUAAUAC